GACGAACGCUGGCGGCGUGCUUAACACAUGCAAGUCGAACGGAAAGGCCCUGCUUGCGGGGUACUCGAGUGGCGAACGGGUGAGUAACACGUGGGUGAUCUGCCCUGCACUUCGGGAUAAGCCUGGGAAACUGGGUCUAAUACCGGAUAGGAGCCAUUUUUAGUGUGAUGGUUGGAAAGUUUUUUCGGUGUAGGAUGAGCUCGCGGCCUAUCAGCUUGUUGGUGGGGUAAUGGCCUACCAAGGCGGCGACGGGUAGCCGGCCUGGGAGGGUGGACGGCCACAUUGGGACUGAGAUACGGCCCAGACUCCUACGGGAGGCAGCAGUGGGGAAGAUUGCACAAGGGGCGCAAGCCUGAUGCAGCGACGCCGCGUGGGGGAUGACGGCCUUCGGGUUGUAAUCUCCUUUCGCUAGGGACGAAGCUUUUUGUGACGGUACCUAGAUAAGAAGCACCGGCUAACUACGUG
rnacentral:rRNA from 1 species